rnacentral:rRNA from 1 species
GUAACACGUGGACAAUCUGCCCCCCGGUCCGGGAUAGCCCAGGGAAACCUGGAUUAAUACCGGAUGAGACGGGACCCGCGGAGGCGGGAUCCGGGAAAGGCGCUGCGGCGCCGCCGGGGGAUGAGUCUGCGUCCCAUUAGCUAGACGGCGGGGUAACGGCCCACCGUGGCGACGAUGGGUAGCCGGCCUGAGAGGGUGGACGGCCACAUUGGAACUGAGACACGGUCCAGACUCCUACGGGAGGCAGCAGCUAAGAAUCUUCCGCAAUGGGCGAAAGCCUGACGGAGCGACGCCGCGUGAACGAAGAAGGCCGUGAGGUUGUAAAGUUCUUUUCGGGAGGGGGAACAACCGUGGCAGGGAAUGGCCGCGGGAUGACGUGAAUCCCGGAAUAAGCCCCGGCUAACUACGUGCCAGCAGCCGCGGUAACACGUAGGGGGCGAGCGUUGUUCGGAAUCAUUGGGCGUAAAGGGCGUGCAGGCGGUCCUGCAAGUCCGGCGUGAAAGACCCCGGCCCAACCGGGGGGACGCGCU